AUGGAGUCUUGCUUUGUCAUCCAGGCUGGAGUGUAAUGAUGGAAUCUCGGCUCACUGCAACCUCUGCCUCCCAGGUUCAAGCGAUUACCAGGCCUCAGCCUCCUGAGUAGCUGGGGUUACAGUUAAGAGAACUGGAGACACAAAAAAGCUAAGUGAAUUAUGCAAAGCCACCCAGCUAGAAGUGACUUUCUUCAGAGGAAGUUCUUGGAAUUCCUGUGCCACCAUAAGAGUUACUCACCUGCUGGAUUUUUAUGAGAAGAGAGCACCUCCUGAAACUAGAGUUAUGAAAACACAUACUUUGCAAAAGAUUUCAGUGGAAAUCAUGAUGUGACUUGGUCCUUGCCUUCCGCCAUGAAUGUGACGCCUCCCAGCCCUGUGGAACUAAAAGAAUAAUCAAGUUACUUCAGCUCUGGUAUCAAGCAAACUUCUCCCGGUAGGCUUCAGGAAGUUUGCUGAUCCUAUCAGCUCAGGAGCAGCUAAGUUCACAGGAAGGACAAUUCUGAAAGCUGGUGAAGACAUUGCCAUCAGACUCAUCUGCUUGUCAUGAAAUCGCAACAGCCACCCCAGCCUUCGGUAGCCACCACCCUGAUUAGUCAGCAGCCAUCAGCUGAUAUCAAGAGCACAUUAAAUGUUAACACUGCGACUUGCAAGGACCCCCAGCUGGUGGAUCCCUGAGGACAAGGACAGAAGUUCACCAUGCACGGCCACUCUGCUUUUGUGCAACAGGUGUGUGUUCCAGGCCUGUCAUGGAUGUUUUUCCAUAGCUAGUCACCUUCCCUGCAAAACAGAGGGUGGUCCUCAAGGAGAGCAGGAUGUCUUCUGGAGCAGAGUCUUCCAAAGAGCACAGGAGACCAGGGGCUCCUUGAGGGGAAGCAACUUUGCCUUAUUCUUAUUUGUGUCUUUCAGCAUCUGGCACAAUAAAUGCUUGUCUCUUGAUAUUUGUCAAGAUGGGUAAACAGACGCUCUUUAUUGUCAUAUCAUCUGUUUCCUUAAGUUUGGUAUCUGAGUGACAGUAAUAAUGACUAACAUUUAUGGAGCUCUUGCCAGUUGCUUUACUGGUGGUACCUGUUAUGGUCUGACUGUUUAUGUCCUCCCCCAAAUUCCCAUGUCAAUGCCCUAACUCCCAAUGCAAUGGUAUAAAGAGGCAGGGCCUCUGGGAGGUAAUAAGGUUUACAUGAUGCCCUCACGAUGAGAUUGGUGCCCUUAUAAAAUGAGACCAGAGCUCGCUCUCUCUCUCUCCUCUCUGUCCUGCCAUGUGAGGAUACAGCAGGAAGAUGGCCAUGUGCAAGCUAGGAAGAAGACAGAACUCACCAGGGACUGAAGUGGCCAGUACUUUGAUCUUGGACUUCAAGCCUCCAGAUCUGUGAGAAAUAAAUUUUUGUUGUUUAAGCAACCCAGUCUGUGGUGUUUUGUUGCAGCAGCCGAAGUGAACUAAGACAAUACCCUAUGAGCUAAUACCAUUUUAGCAGUGAAGAAACUGAGGCUCAGGGAGCUUAGCAACUUUCUCAAAGUUUCUGUGUGCUAAGCUGUUUCCCUGCCCCUUUCUGUCUGAGGGGAAAUUGAAAUAUAAAGCAACAACCUGUUGCAGAAAUAUUUGAGUAAACAAACUUCAGAAAGAGUGUUAGAACCCAAACUAGCUUUCAAGUAGAAAAAUCAAGGUAUUCCUGGGUGCUGUUAGUGUGAAAAUACAGGAAAUGUCAUUGGACCCAUAGGUGGGAAUUAUGGGCAGGUCUCAUAGAACAGGCACCUAGAAGGUAGUCGGUAAUCAAGAAAACAUUUCUUUCCACGAGGCUGCACGAUCCCCCUCAUCUCUGUGUGUCUCUCAUCCUUUAUCGGCCUGCUUCCCUCUUCACCUGAUUCCUCUGCUUGUUCUUUUGGGGUGCAGCCCUACAAGGAACACCAACCUACAUUCUGCUUGUCUCCACUGAUCUGCUCUGUCUUUGAGUAUUUCCAGUUCUAGAAAUUGGUAGAAAGCCAGCUCAUAUGAGUGAGACCGCAUGUACCACAGGCGGCUGGCCAGCUACUUCUCUGGUUCCUUGUCAAAACUGUUGCAUACAUGUAGCUCAAUCUAUGAUCAUCUCUGCACAAACAAACAAACAAACAAACAAACAAAACCCAGCCCUGCACCCUUUCUGUGAAUGGGAAGCAAUGUACAGAACAUAUUAAGCCAAGAGGUAGGUAAGGCAGAAAAUUGAAAGAUGAUAUCUGUUAUUGAUUUGGUAUGAGUUAAAGGUACAUGGUUCUGUUUUAGAUAUUUUAUAAUAAUAAAAAUGAAAAAAGAGAAAGGAAUUGCCCCACAAUUACGUUUUCAAAAUAUGUUUAUUUUUUCCCCUAAUUUUUCUUGAGGUUAUUUAGAUAUUUCUUGACAAAUCUUCAUGGUAACAUAUGUGAAAGCAGACAUGUUUAUUUUCUUUGAUUUGGUGGAAUGAAUUAUCAAAAUUCUGGUUUUUAACAUUGUUAAAACUUCUGAGUAAAAAAUUUCUAACAAAUGAAGUGUUAAUACCAAAAAAAGAGUGUUAGCUAUGAGUGGUAUGUAAAUAAGUUGUCAAAUAUCAUCAAUAAUAAUUCUGAUCACCAUUUUCUUGGGUUUAUUAUAAUAAGACAAAUGUUGCUCCCAAAGAAACUGCUGAUUCUGGGGCAGGGACAAGAGCUCACCAAGAAAUCCAGCUACCAAAAUAUUUUGCCUGGUCACCCGGCCACAGGGGCUGAUGGCCAAAUCACAGACUUGAAACCUAAUGGCUGUGAGUGCACAUCAACGUGUUCAUCUGUCUGGUAUUAUUAUGUAGUUUUUGGAAAGCCGUGAUCUCUACGUCAGAUUGUUUUUUGCAAAAUAAGAAAUAAUACUGGGGUCUUGCCUCAAAAAAAGCAGUGAAGAUCAGCUCAUAGAAAUGUUUGAAAUCUAGGUAGUACUGCAGAUUUGUGGACGCUAGAGAAUGACUGUAAGAAGUGAUCUUAGGCGGGAAAAGCCCACUGUUAGGUCUUGGCUCAUGCUCCGCGUUGCCAAUUCCCAGCCUUGCAAUUUUGGACAGGUUAUUUAAUCUGUAAGUGUGCUUCCAUUUCAUCACAUAUAAAACAGAAAUAUGAAAACCUGCCUUUGAGCAUUUUCAUGGGGAUUAAAUGAGAUAAGUUCUGUCUGGCACAUACCAAUGCACAAAUAAGCUUAGCAAAUGUUUUUGUUUUUUAACUAGAUGAAGAUAAGUCUCUCCAGUGGUAUAUUUUUCUUUAGGAAAAAAAUAUCAGUACAUGCUUUUAACAUAAACCUGAAUCUAACUUCUAUAUAAUAAUGGACAAGAUAAGACUCCAGAAAUAUUUUAGAAUUUUCUUAGAUGAGCUCUCAAUCUGUGUUAAAACAGGUAAAACCUUUUACUAUAGACUGAGAAGGAAGAGAAAGGAAAAAAAAUGGCCUAUUUAAACAAUGAGGAAUAUAUAUAUAUAUAUUUGUCAGUAUCUUAAAGAGGCUUUUCUUAUACAAACAGGAGUAUUUGCUGGUCAGUGCCCAGAUUUUUUUUUCUUUUGAUGUACAUUAAAAAAAUUAAAAGAAAUAUUCUUAGAAAGACAUCUGUGCCUGGGGUGACUCACAUUUGAUCAAUCCCUGUGAACUGAGCUUUUCAGGGGAUGUGCAAUUAUUUGCUCAGUUAGGCUUAAACUUUUUAUUUAUCUAAUCACCCCUCUGUAAUGCUUUGAUCUGAACUUCCAAGGCCUAUUUUUCAACCACUUUAGCUACAUAUUUUAAGUCUUAUAGUCUAAUCAACCCUAGCCCAUAAAACAUGCAAUGUCCUGUUUAAUGCCUCCUAUUAGGAAAUCAGCUGCCACAUGGAUUUUGUAAUCUCCCACUUUGUGACUGGGUGAGCUGUUUGGAAGUGUCAUUAAUGUCAUUAUUCCAGGAGAGCGAGAGAGAGCCAGCAGCCAAGUGCAUCCCCUGUAUCCCAGCUGGCUUCUCCUUGCUAACGUUUGCCGAGUGACUCAGAGGUGAAUCAUCGGUUUCUGCAGGUGUAAGCUUGGGAGUCCUGGAAGUCUUCCACAUCCCAGUGGGGGCAAAUGUUUACCUCAUUAAUUCAUGGGAUUACUCAGUAGUUCCAGCCAACUUAAUUUGACUGUAUAAUAGUUAAAAAUAUGUGUGUGUAUGUGUGUGUGUGUGUGUGCAUAUUUACUUAUAGCCCAGGAGUGUGCUACAGCUUAGAAAUUUAAAGGUAAAACCUGUCAUUGAAUAAUUAGAAAAUGUUGUGUUUAUUUGAAACAUUUAGAAAAAAAAAUUCUAUGUAUGUCAUUUUACUGUAACAUAUACACUUGGUAAUGAUAUUUCUCACUUUUCUCUCUGUGCUUGGAUAUAUGUGAGGGACUGAGGUCCAUAACAGUUGGUGAAUUAGCCCACUCUAAUUCCUUUCCCAGCCUUGGGGCUUAUUUAGUUGAAUGUUGUCAGAAACCUUAGCCUUCAGAGACUUUUUUCUUUUCAAAGGACACUCAAUUUUUGGUUGUAAAAACAAAAAAGUAAAUAUAAAUAUAUUUCUUCACUUUAUUCAUCUCUGAACAAAUCUUGCUUUUACAUCUUAGUAGUGCCUAAUGAAGAUAACAACCAUCAACUAAAUUAGUAAGAUUUAAGAAUAUAAAAAUAUAGUUACAGCGCCAAUUUGCUGAAAAUUAAUGGUCAUUAAUCAAGACCUAUGAUGCAAUAGCUAAUAAUUGAUUUCCUCCUAUGUUCUAGCACAAUGUAAAAUGCUUUACAAAUACUAAUUUAUUUAAUUAUUAGAACACCCUACAACAUUGGUACUCUUAUUGUCUGCAUUUUACAGAUGAGAAACUCCAGGCAGAGAGAGGUUAGCCAGCUUGCCUAAGGUCACACACAGAUAAUACAUGAUGAAGCCGGCAUUUAAAUCCAGACAGUCUGACCUUAGAACCUGAAUUAUAAAACACUAUGUUAUUAUGGUCUAAUGACAAAUUUUUAAAAAACACAGAAGAAUCUAUGCAUGUAAAUGAAUCCAGUCCAUCUUAAAGUAGCCACCUAUGUAUGCUCUAUACUUAUUUCAAAUUUUGCUGUGGCUUAACACUUCCAGAACUCUCUCUUUUCUUUCAUUUCUAAAAAAAUUCUUGUGGAAACUAUGCCUUGUUGGUCUAAAUAUCACCAGUAAAAGCUUCACUCUUUGAAGUUGAAUUUGAUUUUGGAAAUAGUUGAAAGUGAUUCAAAACUCAGGUUGGUGAAGAGAGGAGGAAUCAAGUUUGGUAAGAUCACUAUAAGUUAAACUGUCUCUAAAUAUAAUUUUCAAGCAGGGAUUCUAGAAUUCCAAAAAUAUUUUGUGUAAUGGUAGCAUCAUUAAAAUAAAUGGAAAGCCUGCAAAGGUCAUUCUGAAGAGCGUUAGAAAGACAGAGAACAGUAGCAUAGAAGUUUCUGCUACAGUGAUUCAUCCUCUAAACAUAUGAAACCAUCCUAUUAGGUCACAAUUCAAUAGAUGCUAUUUGACUACCUGACCUGUUAGAAGCCCCUUUCAAUUCUUCUGUAUCCAAAUUUAUAUAGGGGACAUUAUCGGUCAAGACCCUGGUGAGAGAGUGACACAAAAUGGGUAAUUGAGGAGAGUUAAAUAAAGAAACAGUUUACAGGGUUAUAAGCAGGAUUUGUGGAAACCAAUAACAGAAAGUGCAAAUCCCUGGAUAGGCAGCAUGGAGGCACCAUCAUGCCCCUCAGCCUGAAGGGGCGCAAGGAGAGGAGCAGGGGCAAGAACCAGGGAGGGCUGCUGCUGUGAACAGGGCUGCAUGCAAGGGCCUGCAUUGGGGGAGGCAGCCAGCCCAUGUCAACCAAACGUAGGGGGGAGUCAGCUCAGAGCAAAUACCCCAUCUCACUCUCCUCCUGCCCUCUGAACUCCUGCUACUGCCCCACAGACCAAACCCAACCAGAACACACAGCAAAGAGCCAGCCUGUUGUCACAUGCCACAGAGAUUACCUUUUGGGAGCACACAGUGGGGUCAAGCCUGCCUUCUCUCUGGUUCUCACCUUUCCUAGAGGAGAGGAACUGACGCAUGGUAAAGACAUUUCAUAUACAAAUUUCAGUUACCCAACUGGCCUAGGAAAGGGAGGAGAGGAAGAAUCUGACAUUUAUUGACAGUUUUUACAUUUAGUGAGUACUUACUAUGUACCCAAUGUGCCAGGUGUUUUACUUAUGUUAAAAAUGAAGAUGCAUUAUGUGAAGAGAAUUUCACUUUACUUCUGUGGUUUCCCUCCCCUCACAAUUACAUUCUAAUUAUGAGAAAACAUCAGAUAAACCUUAUCUCUAUUGAGGGGCAUUCAAUAAAAUAUCUGAGCAGUAUUCCUCAAAACUGUUAAGGUCUUCAAAAAUAAAGAAUUCCGAGAAACUAUCACAACCAAUGGGAGCCUCAGGAGACAUGACCAACAAAUAUAAUAUGGUAUCCCUGAUGGGAUCCUGGAAAAGAAAACAGACAUUCGGUAAAAACUAUGGAAAUCUGGGCCGGGCGUGGUGGCUUACACCUGUAAUCCCAGCACUUUGGGGGGCCGAGGCAGGUGGAUCACCUGAGGUUUGGGAGUUCGAGGCCAGCCUGACCAACAUGGAGAAACCCCGUCUCUACUAAAAAUACAAAAUUAGCCUGGCGUGGUGGUGCAUGCCUGUAAUCCCAGCUACUCGGGAGGCUGGAGCAGAAGAAUCACUUGAACCGGGGAGGUGGGGGUUGUGGUGAGCCGAGAUCACACCAUUGCACUCUAGCCUGGGCAACAAGAGCGAACUCCAUCUCAAAAAGAAAAACAAAAAAACAAAACAAAACAAAAACUAUGGAAAUCUGAGUAAAGUGUGGGCUUUAGUUAAUAACAAUGUAUCAGUAUUGGUUGAUUAAUUGUGACAACUGUAUGUACUAAUGUAAGAUGUUAAUAAUGGUGUGGGGUGUAUGGAAACUCUCUUAUCUUUGCAAUAUUUCUGUAAAUCUAG
rnacentral:lncRNA from 1 species